CCUACGGGAGGCAGCAGUGAGGAAUAUUGCGCAAUGGAGGCAACUCUGACGCAGCAACGCCGCGUGGGUGAAGAAGGCUUUCGGGUUGUAAAGCCCUGUCAGGUGGGAAGAAACCUCUUCUAGUGAAUAGCUAGAGGAACUGACGGUACCACCAAAGGAAGCACCGGCUAACUCCGUGCCAGCAGCCGCGGUAAGACGGAGGGUGCAAGCGUUGUUCGGAAUCACUGGGCGUAAAGCGCGUGUAGGCGGUUCGAUAAGUCGAGUGUGAAAGCCCGAGGCUCAACUUCGGAAGUGCAUUCGCAGUGAGGAAUAUUGCGCAAUAGAGGCAACUCUGACGCAGCAACGCCGCGUGGGUGAAGAAGGCUUUCGGGUUGUAAAGCCCUGUCAGGUGGGAAGAAACCUCUUCUAGUGAAUAGCUAGAGGAACUGACGGUACCACCAAAGGAAGCACCGGCUAACUCCGUGCCAGCAGCCGCGGUAAGACGGAGGGUGCAAGCGUUGUUCGGAAUCACUGGGCGUAAAGCGCG
rnacentral:rRNA from 1 species